GUUUUAAUUUUCUGUGACUCACAGGCUUCACUUAGAGAUGCUUUCCAUUGGAAAUGAGAACUGCAGAGUACUGAGAAAUAUAAAAGAUGGGUUUAUGAUGGAUUUUCUUCUGUGCAUUGCUGAGGGAAUGAAGGAGGAAAGAGCAAAAUAACCUAGAAAAGAGAACCCCAGGCACAAAAUCACAACAUCCAGGAAUCAAUACAGAAUGGAUGCAGCAACACUGGAAAAACAGCAAAGCCUCACUGAAAGAGAACAGGAUGAAGACAUACCAGCUCAUUAAGGUGGACUCAUAUUCCUGAGCCCCAAAAUGCACUGCAAAACAGUACAGAGAUUUUUUUUUCCACGAGUACCCUUAGAAGCUUCCUUUUACAGACAAAGCCGUCCCUUUUUGGAACCAGAACUGCAUAA